CCGUCUUCCCAGCAGCUCCUCAACACGUGGCAUAACCACAGCUCUCUCCCCCGUUGGGCUUUUAAUUACAUUAUAAAGUUACUCAAGGCUUACACUGGCAGGUCAUUAGUUUUCAUAUGAAUUUAAUUUAAUCAUAAACAACUCAUCUCACUCCUUAGCGGCUCCUUAAAUGUGGCUCUUUUAAAUACUAUUAACUUUGCUACAGCCACCCCAGAGGAUUAAUGGAGGUGCAGGCAGCUUGCCAGAAGCUUUACUGCCCCUCCCCAAGGGCUCGUCUUCAUCCUCCUCCCCCUCAGCAAAGCCCCAGAGCACGGUGGCCCUGCAGAGGUGGCUGCAGAAGGGUUGCUGGGCUGUCUGAAGGGGACAUCAGGCCACUGGUGACCUCCCUGGUUACUGCUGGAGCAGCUGCAUGUCACCCCCACUCCUGCCCCAGGCACUGCUCCUCAGUCAGGUGUGUCAGUCAGGUGUGUUUUGAAGGCAGGAGGACGUGGAGGUGAGCUGUGGAAUCCUCCCUUCCUUCUGACAUUGUGACAUCCAUGUGGGAUGCUGGACCUGCUCAUGAAGAGCCUGGGGUAGCACCAACAUCUGGAACUGCAGCUCCUGAUGUGUGGAGUGUCCAGGCUGGAGCAGGGGAAGUUUUAUUAGUUUAAAAGACCUGAAAGAUGCACAGAUCCUCCAGAGGAUGGUGAGGAAAACACCCAAAGCAGCUGGCUGAAAAGAAGAAUUAAGGUGGAGAAGCACUUAAGCAUCAGCACUGUCUUCCCCCCUGCCCUGCUGAAGGGAUCCCAGCGCUCCUGGGCCCCGGCAGCAGCAGGCACUGGCUGCAGCCUCACAGCUAAUGAGCACCCAGGAACGAGCAGGGCUUGGACAGAAACACAGCUCAAGGCUGCAAAAUGGCUCCUGUGUUUAAUUAUCAAGUCUAAUGAGGGCUGUUGAGAGGAGUGGAGAGUGGCUUUGCAUGCUGACCAGAUCACCUCUCUGGGGAGAAACGCUGGGAAGGCGCUGUGGAGAGGCAGAGCCUGCCUCGGGCUCUGCUGGGCCUUGGUCAUUUAUCAAGGAAUCUGCCAAGGAUUUGUCAGGGAGCCGAAAUGAGGGGUUUGUGAGUGCCCUGGGAGUGCUGUGCUUGGCCCACAGCUCUGGGGAUGCUGCUGCAGGACAGCAGAGAAGUGGCAGAAAGGUUGGGUGGUGCAGAUGCAGCUGAGGGGAGUUUCAGGAUAAACAUUCAUCCCCUGCUGCCCUAACCAGAGCCUGAAGCUUCAUGAAGCCAAGUCAAAUAAAAUAACUACGGUAAAAUAACUACACAAGAGAGGUCAUGAACUAGACAAGAGUCAGCCUUGUGCACUCUCCCUCGUGUCUGUCAGGAUCAGCUGAGCAAUUUAAAACAAGAGGGAAAACUACUUCUGGAAAACCAUCCCUCAGCUCGGGUGGACAAGUGGGUUUCUGCACGGCUGCAAGUGAGCUCCAGCUGUUUGGGCACAGCUGGGCAGUGCCUGAGGCCUGCCUGGUGUCAGGGAGGGAGUGGAAUGGGAAAGCAGUGCCCCACCAGCAGCUCUGACUGCAGAGGGAACGCUGUCUGCAGUGCUCCUGGCACAGAGAGCCCGCUGCUGCUGCUCACUCUUCAGUGUUAGAACUGGGAGAUUGUGCCAAGUGCCUGAAUGUCCUGGUCCCCCCUGGGUACAGGACAAUCCAUCUUCCCUCAGCCACCUCACAAAAAUCAGUCAAACAUGGUGCUCCAACCCCCACAGAGGACAAAGCCCUGCAGCUGGAGCCCAGCCCAGCUGAAAUUUCCCGUUUCACCAGGGCUGGAUCUCUCUGAUUCUCAGCUGCCACCAGGAGUGAUUUUCCACUGCUGAGACCCCUGAAUUGCAGGGUUUGGGUGGCACUGUGAGCCCUGAAUUGCAGGGUUUGGGUGGCACCAUCCCAGCCAGGCUGGCAGCAGUGCCCAUCCUGCCCAGGGAGAGCAGAACCCACGGCAGGGGAUGCUCAGCUUUGGGGGAGCCCUAGGAAACUCCUGGGGACAACGCUGGAAAAGUGCUGAAAGCCCGAGGAGAAGCAGAGAUCUGAUGGAAGGGGUGCCACAGAGAGUGCCAAAUCCAGGGGAAAGAGCCAGGAUCUCCAGUCUUGUGCCAUCUAGUGAGCGAGAGGAAGAGCAGCAAACACCCAGCUCCUGCCAGCCUGGAAAUCGGCUCCAGAGCAGUCCAGGACGGGCUGCCAGGGCAGCGUGUCCCUGAAAUCCAGCCCCAUCCCAGCCACGAGAGGGGCAACAAACACCAGCAAGGCAGGGCAAACACCUCCAGAGAACUCGGCUUGCUCAGGCCACGGGGAGUUUGGCGUUUGGAGAAGAAACCACUGCAGCAGGAGCACACAGCAGUAUUUGGCUUCAGAGGGCUCUCAAAGACUCCUGCAGAGACAAAGGCAGCACAGAUGCAGCCGGGGGAGGGAAACACUCAGGCACAAACCCCAAGACUCUCCCUGCCCUGCUUUUCUUCCCCCAGAGAGUUCCAUCAUCAGCAACUGCAAAAGCCCUUGGGCAGCCCAGAGGAGUUUGGAGCCCAGAUGUGACAGGACCUGAACCACAGGGAAUGCUGCAGCUGCUGCAGCUCCAGGAACUUCCCAGGGCUGUCAGCUCUGUUCUCAAAAAUUAAGAAAUAUUUUUACUUUAGCUCUGUUUCCAGCAUAGCACCCGGAUGAAAUGGUAGUUAACAGUUAUUUCUGGAAUAUACAGUACUUAUAAAUACAUGUUAUAUCCUCAUGGUUGAAUCUCCCCUCAGGCAGUGCCAAGGACGUGCAGAUGAAGUUAAAUAUUCCCAGGAGAUCUCCUGCUUCCCUGGGAUACACUGAGAGCAGGGUGUCCCAGGAGACAGUGCAGUCCUGCUAUACAUAAACAAAAUGAUUAAUUACAUGUCCUCAGCUACUCCAUUCCUCACUACCUUGUGGAGCAAGGAGGCAGGAACCCUCAGGCUUUGCUCACCCUUCUCUCUCUGCUCAUUUAAAACCUCACCAGCAACACCUUCCACUCCCAAUUGCAUCUCCUUUCCAGCAUCUCACCUGAGCUCACGUUCUGCACGGUGGACACUGCCAGCAAGGUCGGUUCCUGCACGAAAUCCAAGGUUAAACUGGCAGCUCCUGGCACAACCUCCCAAAACAGAGGGUAAACCCACAGCAGCUGCAUGGGCUCGUGUCAAAGCUGCCCUAAUUUAACGUGCUGUGUCCUUGGCAGAAAUCAAUGGAAGCAGCAGGGGAAAAGUUCUAACAAAGGGCGCUUGGGCUCUGUGCUGGGAGCCUUUCUGAGCAGCCCAGGGGAGGAGGCACACAUUUCCCCCUGCACCCACAGGGCAAAACAGGAUUUUUUUUUUCUCCUCCUGAGCAGAGAAGAGCAUGAGAAGAGACAAGGAGGCAUCCCUAGGUGCUCCUUGUGCCACCAAAACAAGGGAACUGAAGCCUUUGUUGGAGAUUCCUGUUCAAGACAGACCAGCUAAUUAAAAAAGGAAGAAUGAUCUGUGCAGAAAAGCUCAGCUCUCAGGGUGCAAUACUCACUCCUCACCAAGCAGGGUCAGCCCAGCACCAUCUGAACACUGGAGUCAUCCUGGGAACGGCUGCUUCGCUUCAGCUCCAGCGCAAUUUCAGCUCGGUGGCAAAGAUAUCCCUGCCCCUGAGCAGAGGGAGAGGCUCCAGCUCGGUUUUAAAGAACUGGAGGCUCAGCCUUGCAAAGUUCAAAUGCCACAAGUUUUUCUAAGUCAGUACAACCCAGUGCAGAAGCAAAGCUGAACUGAGGUCACAGCUGGCAACCAGACAUAAAAUCAGACCAUGCCCAAGUUUCUCAGUCUGUUAACUUUAUUGGAGAGGUCUUUACAUCAUGGUGGUGGCCCCACUGAAGAUAUUUUACAAAAUAUUUUAAAAACCCUUUAUAUUCAAAGCCAUUUUUAAAAUUGUGUCCCAUCCUCCCCCGAAAAGCAAGCUGGGUUUAAUUGUGGUUCCUUCUGAACAGGGAACAACAAAAAAAAAUCCUCUUUUGAAAGGAGGGAAGAUGAUACCCACGCUGUAAACAUGACAGUCAGAUGAUGUGCCCCCCUCCCAGGCGAGGGACACGGUGCUGGAGCCUGGCACACCCAGGGAGAGAACACAAAACAUGAAAACGAGUGGACAGAACCAUUCCUACCUCUGUGUUGCUCUCUCCAAG